CACACAAUCGGAAGGCGCCAAGUGUCCUUCCACACGAUUUCCCCCUUAUCUCGUCCCGUUAGCUCCAAAUUUCCGCUACUCUCGACUCUUGACCUGGCCUCGUCUCUGUAACCCUGACCCUUGCACUCCUCCAUCCAAAUUAAUGGCGACAACUCUGGCAACGACAAACACAUCGGAGAAGGGAAAGGAGAUCACCGGCGACCACCCAACCAUUAUACAGAUCAAUUGACACUUACCUUCAUUCGCGAUGGAACCAGAGCCUGGCGAGACAACUCUCAUUAGGGAACACAAGAUCAUUCUCCUCCGAAGCAAGCGCUUCCCCGAGGAUUACAGCAUGCGAAUGCGAGAUCUUCCCGACAUUGGAUGGUAGAACCGCCAAGGAUUCAACAUACCGGAGAUAGUUCAAUGUCUUUAGCUUCUUGGCCCCGUCCGGCAUGGCCAUCAAAAAUGAAAAGUUCCUCCCUAGAGCAGAAGAAGAAAAGGAGCGAUUGAUGAAUAGAAGGUUGGAGGAGAGAAGUGGAGACUACUGGCAAACGGGGAAUACCUCCAAUGUGUCUGCCGGAACGGUCUUCGUCGCCGGAAUUCUUGCCGUUAGCUUGGAUGGAGUGCAGGGGUCAAAGUUAGAUAGAGGAGGUCAGGUCAAGAGUCGAGAGUAGCAGGAAUUUGGAGCUAACAGCCGUCCCAUUAGCUCCACUGCUGAGGGAGGAAUCAUGCGAGAGGACACUAGGCGCCUUCAGAUCGUGUGGGGCGUUCGUGGGGCGCCCAGUUGUGGGGCGCAGAUUUGAACUCUGUCAACAUUCACUUGAUACACAUUGACACCUAAGGUCCUAACAUCUUUGGUUUAAUUUCUAGCACUACUUUGCUUUUGAUGAAGGGGACGUAUUUGUGUAAUUUUAAUUUCUAAGUACUACUUUGUAUUUUGAUGAAGUGGACGUAUUUGUGAAAUGGUCAGGCUGGCAGGCUAAGUUAGCAAA